rnacentral:rRNA from 1 species
UACGUAGGGGGCAAGCGUUGUCCGGAAUCAUUGGGCGUAAAGCGCGUGUAGGCGGCUUGGUAAGUCUGCUCUGAAAGCCCGGGGCUCAACCCCGGGAGGCGGGUGGAUACUGUCAAGCUCGAGUCCGGAAGAGGAGUGUGGAAUUCCUGGUGUAGCGGUGAAAUGCGUAGAUAUUGGGAGGAACACCAGUGGCGAAGGCGGCUCACUGGACCGGUACUGACGCUGAUGCGCGAAAGCGUGGGGAGCAAACGGG